rnacentral:rRNA from 1 species
AACGAACGCUGGCGGCAUGCCUAACACAUGCAAGUCGAACGGCUCUUCGGAGCAGUGGCGCACGGGUGAGUAACGCGUGGGAACCUACCCCGAGGUACGGAAUAACGGCUGGAAACGGCCGCUAAUACCGUAUGUGUCCUAAGGGAGAAAGAUUUAUCGCCUUGGGAGGGGCCCGCGUCCGAUUAGCUAGUUGGUGAGGUAAUGGCUC